AAGGAAUUGGAUCUUAUCUCAGCAGAUUGCUUUUAGAUAGUAGAUGAAAUCAAAUAUGCAAUUUCCCAAGAUUCCAUUUACUCAUCUGUUGAAAACUAUACAGCAGGUAAUCCUGCUUCUGUGCUGUAUAUAAAGAACUUGGCAAAAGGAUGUUGUUCCUGAAGAUUUCUACUUCAUCUUUGGUCAAAAAGUGAUGUGGUUACCUAAUUGCGAUGCUGAAAAUAAUCUUUUGAUAUCAGGAGGGAAGGAUGAGGGGUCAAGCUUUUGUGACUUUUCCAUCAGUUGAACUUGCCCAUCAUGCUUUGGUAUGUUGCUCUCAGGUUUUUGUUUUCCUGAGUUUGUCUAUUUCGUGUAUCCCAUAAAAGUUGCCUUAACACCCACUGUUGUCUUUGAGAGAGUGUUUAUGUUAACCUAGUCCUCAGCAUUUAAAAUUCGAGACCAGGGACAAACCGGUGUGAGCAAAAUGAAAUCUCAAGCCAAACCAGCUAGAACUUAACUUGUUACUUUGGUAUUAUCAAUAACAAAAGUGGGGCAAAAUAAAUUGGCUCUCUCCUUGAGUUUGUUAUCCUCUCAACAUUCUGGUUCUUUUACCAAAAUAGCCAACCUGGUUCCUUUUCGCCAUAAAUCUUUUUCUUGUGACAAAGCUAGUGAAG